UGGUCCUACGGGGCGCAGCAGUGGGGGAUAUUGCACAAUGGGGGGAACCCUGAUGCAGCGACGCCGCGUGGGCGAUGGAGUGCUUCGGUAUGUAAAGCUCUCUCAGCAGGGAAGAUAAUGACGGUACCUGACUAAGAAGCCCCGGCUAACUACGUGCCAGCAGCCGCGGUAAUACGUAGGGGGCAAGCGUUAUCCGGAUUUACUGGGUGUAAAGGGAGCGUAGGUGGCAGGGCAAGUCAGAUGUGAAAACCCGGGGCUCAACUCCGGGAGUGCAUUUGAAACUGUCCAGCUAGAGUGCAGGAGAG
rnacentral:rRNA from 1 species